UUUUUCUUAUACAUAUGAUUUUAGACUUUUUACAUAUAUUAAAUAAGUUUUGUUACAUUUGACUAUCAACAUUUCCAAAUUUUGUAUAAUACCCUAUUUGUUAUUUUACUUUAUUUAUUUUUCUUUAUAAUAAAUAAUAAAUAAUUAAUGUUAUUAUUGAAAAAUCUCCAUAAUUUAUUUAUUUCUAUAAUACCCUAUUUAUAUUUAUAUUUUUUGCUUAAAAUUAAUAAAUUUCUAAAUAAGAGAAAGCGUUGCAUGAGCACAAUAUUUGAGCACAAAGUUUG
rnacentral:lncRNA from 1 species